CCUCCGAGUAUACUGAAAUCAUUCAGUUUUUGAUAUUCUAGACUUUUCCGCCAACUUUCACCGAGAAGCUUAAGAAGCGACUCAUUUUGAAGAGUGCCUCGUACAUGAUGAUUUGCAAUGCUUUGUAUAAACAAGGCAAAGAUGGCAUUUUAAGACGUUGUAUCUUUCAAAGUGAAGUACAAUCGAUACUAGAAGAUUACAAUUUGGAUAGUUGUGGUAGACAGUUUGCGAGCGA
rnacentral:lncRNA from 1 species